AGAGUUUGAUCCUGGCUCAGAACGAACGCUGGCGGCAGGCUUAACACAUGCAAGUCGAGCGCCCCGCAAGGGGAGCGGCAGACGGGUGAGUAACGCGUGGGAAUCUACCCAGCUCUACGGAAUAACCCAGGGAAACUUGGACUAAUACCGUAUACGUCCUCGGGAGAAAGAUUUAUCGGAGUUGGAUGAGCCCGCGUUGG
rnacentral:rRNA from 1 species